GUAGGUGAACCUGCGGAAGGAUCAUUAACACGUAUCCACGUAUCCAAACGAACCACCACGAACUGAUCUCCCCGAGACAACCUACCUCUUAGCUGCCUUGCUCUGUGAUUACAAUGGGUUUCACUUGAAACAGCGUCAAACCCGUUUUCUCGUGGGGCAUAUCACGUCUGGGCUGUUGCUCCCCGAUCAAAAGGGAGAGUGAAAGCGAAGUAAUUGGAUUGUCGGGCUUUACCAUUUUCAAUCUGCUUCA
rnacentral:misc_RNA from 1 species